rnacentral:rRNA from 1 species
GUGAUGACGAGGCACUACGGUGCUGAAGUGACAAAUGCCCUGCUUCCAGGAAAAGCCUCUAAGCAUCAGGUAACACGAAAUCGUACCCCAAACCGACACAGGUGGUCAGGUAGAGAAUACCAAGGCGCUUGAGAGAACUCGGGUGAAGGAACUAGGCAAAAUGGUGCCGUAACUUCGGGAGAAGGCACGCUGAUAGGUAGGUGAAGCGGUUUACCCGUGGAGCUGAAAUCAGUCGAAGAUACCAGCUGGCUGCAACUGUUUAUUAAAAACACAGCACUGUGCAAACACGAAAGUGGACGUAUACGGUGUGACGCCUGCCCGGUGCCGGAAGGUUAAUUGAUGGGGUUAUCCGUAAGGAGAAGCUCUUGAUCGAAGCCCCGGUAAACGGCGGCCGUAACUAUAACGGUCCUAAGGUAGCGAAAUUCCUUGUCGGGUAAGUUCCGACCUGCACGAAUGGCGUAAUGAUGGCCAGGCUGUCUCCACCCGAGACUCAGUGAAAUUGAACUCGCUGUGAAGAUGCAGUGUACCCGCGGCAAGACGGAAAGACCCCGUGAACCUUUACUAUAGCUUGACACUGAACACUGGUCCUUGAUGUGUAGGAUAGGUGGGAGGCUUUGAAGUGUGGACGCCAGUCUGCAUGGAGCCGUCCUUGAAAUACCACCCUUUAAUGGCUGGUGUUCUAACGUGGGCCCGUAAUCCGGGUUGCGGACAGUGUCUGGUGGGUAGUUUGACUGGGGCGGUCUCCUCCCAAAGAGUAACGGAGGAGCACGAAGGUUAGCUAAUCCUGGUCGGACAUCAGGAGGUUAGUGCAAAGGCAUAAGCUAGCUUGACUGCGAGAGUGACGGCUCGAGCAGGUGCGAAAGCAGGUCUUAGUGAUCCGGUGGUUCUGAAUGGAAGGGCCAUCGCUCAACGGAUAAAAGGUACUCCGGGGAUAACAGGCUGAUACCGCCCAAGAGUUCAUAUCGACGGCGGUGUUUGGCACCUCGAUGUCGGCUCAUCACAUCCUGGGGCUGAAGUAGGUCCCAAGGGUAUGGCUGUUCGCCAUUUAAAGUGGUACGCGAGCUGGGUUUAGAACGUCGUGAGACAGUUCGGUCCCUAUCUGCCGUGGGCGCUGGAGAAUUGAGGGGGGCUGCUCCUAGUACGAGAGGACCGGAGUGGACGCAUCACUGGUGUUCGGGUUGUCAUGCCAAUGGCACUGCCCGGUAGCUAAAUGCGGAAGAGAUAAGUGCUGAAAGCAUCUAAGCACGAAACUUGCCCCGAGAUGAGUUCUCCCUGAGACCUAGAGUCUCCUGAAGGAACGUUGAAGACGACGACGUUGAUAGGUCGGGUGUGUAAGUGUAGCGAUACAUUGAGCUAACCGAUACUAAUGAACCGUGAGGCUUAACCUUACAACGCCGAAG